AGUGAACGCUAGCGGUAGGCCUAACACAUGCAAGUCGAACGGCAGCACAGUAAGAGCUUGCUCUUACGGGUGGCGAGUGGCGGACGGGUGAGGAAUACAUCGGAAUCUACUUUUUCGUGGGGGAUAACGUAGGGAAACUUACGCUAAUACCGCAUACGACCUACGGGUGAAAGCAGGGGAUCUUCGGACCUUGCGCGAUUGAAUGAGCCGAUGUCGGAUUAGCUAGUUGGCGGGGUAAAGGCCCACCAAGGCGACGAUCCGUAGCUGGUCUGAGAGGAUGAUCAGCCACACUGGAACUGAGACACGGACCAGACUACUACGGGAGGCAGCAGUGGGGAAUAUUGGACAAUGGGCGCAAGCCUGAUCCAGCCAUACCGCGUGGGUGAAGAAGGCCUUCGGGUUGUAAAGCCCUUUUGUUGGGAAAGAAAAGCAGCAGGUUAAUACCCCGCUGUUCUGACGGUACCCAAAGAAUAGGCACCGGCUAACUUCG
rnacentral:rRNA from 1 species